AGAGUUUGAUCAUGGCUCAGGACGAACGCUGGCGGCGUGGAUUAGGCAUGCAAGUCGAACGGUAUAAACCUUUCGGGGUUUAGAGAGUGGCGAACGGGUGAGUAACACGUAGGUAAUCUACCCUCAAAACGGGGACAACCCAGGGAAACUUGGGCUAAUACCGGAUGCGUGCAAGCAAUGUUUUGGCUGUUAAUGCUAUUCACGGAAGUGAGUAGUGUUAAUGGUUGAGAGCAUUAUUUGCAUAAAAGGUGGCAUAUGCUGCCGUUUGAGGAUGAGCCUGCGUCCUAUUAGUUAGUUGGUGAGGUAAUGGCUUACCAAGGCGAUGAUAGGUAGGCGGCCUUAACGGGUGGUCGCCCACACUGGGAUUGAGAGACGGCCCAGACUCCUACGGGAGGCAGCAGUCGAGAAUAGUCUACAAUGGACGGAAGUCUGAUAGUGCGACGCCGCGUGAACGAAGAAUCCCUUCGGGGUGUAAAGUUCUUUUAUACGUGAGCAGUGCCCUUUAUAUGAAUAGUAUAGAGGGAGGGAUUUAAGCGUAUGAAUAAGCAACGGCUAACUCCGUGCCAGCAGCCGCGGUAACACGGGGGUUGCAAGCGUUGUCCGGAAUUACUAGGCGUAAAGUGCAGGUAGGCGGAUAGAUAAGUUUAAGGUUAAAGGCUACGGCUUACCCGUAGUAAGGCGUUAGAUACUGUUUAUCUGGAAUGCGGUUGAGGGAGACAGAAUUCCUGGUGUAGCGGUGGAAUGCGCAGAGAUCAGGAGGAAUACCGAAGGCGAAGGCAGUCUUCUAAGCCAAUAUUGACGCUAAACUGCGAAGGUGUGGGGAUCAAACAGGAUUAGAUACCCUGGUAGUCCACACAGUAAACGAUAAUCACUAGGUGUUGGGUUCGUAUAGGACUCGGUGCCGGAGCUAACGCGAUAAGUGAUUCGCCUGGGGAGUACGAUCGCAAGGGUUGAAACUCAAAUGAAUUGACGG
rnacentral:rRNA from 1 species